rnacentral:lncRNA from 1 species
CCGAUUUAAGUCCAAAUGAAGGUCCUUGUCAAAGUCAGCUAACUAUGGAAUUCCCCGAGCCUGAAAUGUGAGAAAAUGAGGGUGGUGAGAUUAUAAAAUCCCAGUGAGUAAACAGAUACCAUCUAAACUAUCUAAAGGCGAGUAAAUGGAGACGAAUUAAAAUAAGUCAUCAUAUUGUAAUUUCAUUACCUUUCAACUCAUUUCAACCAAAUAAACAACUAGGCUUAUGAUUUCCUGAAAAGCUUGGCUCAUGCCAAAAAUCAUUCUCAUACUCAGUUAUCAGGGAUACCUUGAUCGAGGGUUAUCCCAACCGAGUCCGCCAAGGCUGUUAAAUGUCUUUACAUCCAAAAUUUUAGCCAUGCCUUGGCGUUGACUGAGUCUCACUCUCACGCGGUGGUCCACGUGAAGUGCACUCAAAUCUUUACCUCAGGAGAUACUUCAUCCAACAUCUCCCUCCGGAGGUAAAUAUAUAAUUGGGUUACCGUG